CAGAAACCGCCACUUGAGUCUCUCAGCAGAGUAUUUGAGGAAUCUUCAGGGCGGUGGAGUAUUUUGGAGACAGGGUUACCAUGAAACACAGACUCGAACCCCAUCGUCGCCGUCAACUCCGCUCUGCAUCUCAAGUCCACUGACAUAUGUGUCAAGUUAGCUGGACAAACUGGUAACAGUGGGAAAGCCGUCCACAUGCAAGUAAGCAGUCAGCUGAUUUAUGUAAGCAACUCUCACGGAAAGGAGUGUGAAGAGACGAGAGGUCAAUCAUAUGGAGCUCUUUGACACAGCAGGAUGUAGUAAACAUCAAUGACAUAUGAAAUCCUGACCCCUGCUGUUCCUGUCAUUGUAAUGGCCAGGAUGGCUUAUUGUUUUAAAACAGAUCUGUUUUGCAGGUGGAGA